AGAUCUUAACUUACUUCUCUUUCUUUUGUUGUAUGAUAGGUUAAUGUCGAUUAUCAAACCAAAUAUCAAGUAAACAACGUUUUGAAUUUUGUUUAAAUGGUAAAUAGUCACUUGUCUGUACAAACGUUUGCUGUUUUGAAAAAUAAUUACUGGAUAUUGCAAGUGUGUGUUUUUUAGAUUUUGCCAUCAAUGAAUUGACUGCUUAAAAAAACGUCGCUCACUAGCUUAAUUGCUUGCCAUCAGUGCUGAAUAAACAUGUCGCAGCCACCACCAGCAUACCCGCCCUACUAUAACCAGCCAGUCUUCCAACAGCCACCGCCCGGCUAUAACCCGGCACCCAUGUUUAUGGCGCAACAGAGCAGUCAAGUGGUCGUGGUCAACACCGGCGGAAAUUCAAGGGUUUAUCCACCGGGAACCUGUCAGAGAUGCGGGAUUUGACUUGAAUGACUAUGAAUUACGGCGUUGCGUUUGUCAGUUUUGCAAAUGUUUAUAAAAUAUACAAUAAAAUACACUAGGACGGUACGAAAUCUACAUGA